ensembl:lncRNA OSMR-DT OSMR divergent transcript
GGAAACCGAAAACUCGGCGGCCGAGGCUCCGUGCCCCGCGCGCAGCGCUGCUCCUGCCCCGGCCAAGGACGCACGGGCCAGCCGGCGGAACCAGAGGAGUGAAGCUUCAGAUCUUCGCAGUGAGUGUUACAGCUCAUAAAGGCAGCGUGGACCUAAAGAGUGACCAGCAGCAAGAUUUAUUGCGAAGAGCGAAUGAACAUAGCUUUCACAGUGUGGAAGGGGAGCUAGACACAAAAGUUCUCCAAGUCCCCACCUGACCCAGAAGCCCAGCUGGCUUCACCUCUCAAUGGCACUCUCCGCGGGACUUUGCAGCACCUAGCCCGGGCACUCUGGCAGCCCAGAGGGAGCUCAUCCCCCAAUCAAGCCCAGCAGGCACUGAGCCCCUGACCACCCGGAACCCGCACCGGCCUGUGAAUGCCACGCGCAGCCCCAGCUCCCGCCGGCACCUCUCCCUCCACACCUCCCCAAGAGCAGAGGGAGCUGGUUACAGACUCGGCCAGCCCCAGAGUGGGGCCCCCACAGCACAGCGACAGGCUGAAGAGCUCCUCAAGUGCGGCCAGAGCGGACGCGGAGGCCGAGGAGGUGCCAAGAGCCAGUGAGGGCUGCUAGCACGUUGUCACUGCUCACAUAUACACGUAUAUACACGUGUAUACAUAUACAUAUGUAUAUACUUGUAUAUACAUAUGUAUAUACUUGUAUAUGUAUUCAUGUGUAUAUACAUGUAUAUAGGUGUACAGAUGUAUAUAGUAUGUAUAUAUACAUGCAUGUGUACAUGUAUACAUUGUAUACAGUUUACAUGUAUGUAUAUAUGUACACAUGUAUUCCAGUGCGUGUAUAUAUACACAUAAUAUA